GACGAACGCUGGCGGCGUGCUUAACACAUGCAAGUCGAACGGGAUUUAGUAGACAGAAGCCUCGGCUAAAGAUUACUAAUGAGAGUGGCGAACGGGUGAGUAACGCGUGAGCAACCUGCCUAUGACAGUGGGAUAGCCUCGGGAUACCGGGAUUAAUACCGCAUAAAAUCGUAGAAACACAUGUUUUAACGGUCAAAGAUUUAUCGGUCAUAGAUGGGCUCGCGUCUGAUUAGCUAGUUGGUGAGAUAACAGCCCACCAAGGCGACGAUCAGUAGCCGGUCUGAGAGGAUGAACGGCCACAUUGGAACUGAGACACGGUCCAAACUCCUACGGGAGGCAGCAGUGGGGAAUAUUGCACAAUGGGGGAAACCCUGAUGCAGCGACGCCGCGUGAACGAAGAAGGUAUUCGUAUCGUAAAGUUCUGUCCUAUGGGAAGAUAAUGACAGUACCAUAGAAGAAAGCUCCGGCUAAAUACGUG
rnacentral:rRNA from 1 species